GCUGCCGGCAGGCGGAACACAUGCAAGUCGAGCGGAGAGAGGUAGCUUGCUACUGAUCUUAGCGGCGGACGGGUGAGUAAUGCUUAGGAAUCUGCCUAUUAGUGGGGGACAACAUUUCGAAAGGGAUGCUAAUACCGCAUACGUCCUACGGGAGAAAGCAGGGGAUCUUCGGACCUUGCGCUAAUAGAUGCGCCUAAGUCGGAUUAGCUAGUUGGUGGGGUAAAGGCCUACCAAGGCGACGAUCUGUAGCGGGUCUGAGAGGAUGAUCCGCCACACUGGGACUGAGACACGGCCCAGACUCCUACGGGAGGCAGCAGUGGGGAAUAUUGGACAAUGGGCGCAAGCCUGAUCCAGCCAUGCCGCGUGUGUGAAGAAGGCCUUAUGGUUGUAAAGCACUUUAAGCGAGGAGGAGGCUACUGAAGUUAAUACCUUCAGAUAGUGGACGUUACUCGCAGAAUAAGCACCGGCUAACUCUGUGCCAGCAGCCGCGGUAAUACAGAGGGUGCAAGCGUUAAUCGGAUUUACUGGGCGUAAAGCGCGCGUAGGCGGCUAAUUAAGUCAAAUGUGAAAUCCCCGAGCUUAACUUGGGAAUUGCAUUCGAUACUGGUUAGCUAGAGUGUGGGAGAGGAUGGUAGAAUUCCAGGUGUAGCGGUGAAAUGCGUAGAGAUCUGGAGGAAUACCGAUGGCGAAGGCAGCCAUCUGGCCUAACACUGACGCUGAGGUGCGAAAGCAUGGGGAGCAAACAGGAUUAGAUACCCUGGUAGUCCAUGC
rnacentral:rRNA from 1 species